UUCAGUAAAAUUCAUAUUUAUGACAAACAGUAGCAUAUUUUCGUCAACAUUUGCUAUUACUUCCUUUAGUUUCGAAACCUAAAAUUUUUGCAAGUUGUAUAAAUGCUAUGUCUAUUAAAUUUAAUCUUAGGUAAACGUACAAUUUUAUUUAGUUAUACUCUACAAUAAAGCCAGUGUGGUUUAUAAGGGUUAAAAUCCACCGAGCUACCGAAAAUCAUAUAAAAAUGCAAAUUCAAAACACAUAUUUCAAUCUUGCGUAUAAUCAGACAUAAAACUAAAGUGAAAAGCCAAAGAAAAUAAGAACUCAAAAAAAAUAACUUCACCAGUCAGAAAAUUGCAAAAUAAUCUAAAGGUUUCCAAGGGAAACUGCGACCACCUGACCCUCCAACCCAGGACAAGUUGAUUGUGCAAAAUGUUUUGAAGAGAUUGUAUCUAUGUAUAAGUUGGUCGGCUGUUGUAUCUUCUCCAUGGGUUCCAUCACAUCCAUUCACAAUCCAUCAUCAACAAUCCCAGCACGUAAACGUAUUUGUCGGUGUUAAUCAGUGGGAAGAGAAUUUUCGUAUGAGCACUGGACACAA